rnacentral:rRNA from 1 species
AACGAACGCUGGCGGCAGGCCUAAUACAUGCAAGUCGAACGCACCGCAAGGUGAGUGGCAGACGGGUGAGUAACGCGUGGGAAUUUUCCUUGCAGUACGGAAUAACUCCGGGAAACCGGUGCUAAUACCGUAUACGCCCUUCGGGGGAAAGAUUUAUCGCUGCAAGAUAAGCCCGCGUCGGAUUAGCUAGUUGGUGGGGUAAAGGCCUACCAAGGCUACGAUCCGUAGCUGGUCUGAGAGGAUGAUCAGCCACACUGGGACUGAGACACGGCCCAGACUCCUACGGGAGGCAGCAGUAGGGAAUAUUGGACAAUGGGCGAAAGCCUGAUCCAGCCAUGCCGCGUGAGUGAAGAAGGCCUUAGGGUUGUAAAGCUCUUUUGGCGGGGACGAUAAUGACGGUACCCGCAGAAUAAGCUCCGGCUAACUUCGUGCCAGCCGCCGCCGUAACAC